UACGAGGGGGGCGAGCGUUGUUCGGAAUUAUUAGGCGUAAAGGGUGCGUAGGCGGCCUGACAAGUCUGAUGUGAAAUCCCUGGGCUCAACCCAGGGCCUGCAUCGGAAACUGUCGGGCUUGAGUAUGGGAGAGGUGAGUGGAAUUUCCGGUGUAGCGGUGAAAUGCGUAGAUAUCGGAAGGAACACCUGUGGCGAAAGCGGCUCACUGGACCAUUACUGACGCUGAGGCACGAAAGCUAGGGGAGCAAACAGG
rnacentral:rRNA from 1 species